rnacentral:rRNA from 1 species
GAUGAACGCUGGCGGCGUGCUUAACACAUGCCAGUCGAACGGAAAGGCCCAAGCUUGCUUGGGUACUCGAGUGGCGAACGGGUGAGUAACACGUGGGUGAUCUGCCCUGCACUUCGGGAUAAGCCUGGGAAACUGGGUCUAAUACCGGAUAGGACCACUUCUUGGAUGUUGUGGUGGAAAGUUUUUUCGGUGUGGGAUGAGCUCGCGGCCUAUCAGCUUGUUGGUGGGGUAAUGGCCUACCAAGGCGUCGACGGGUAGCCGGCCUGAGAGGGUGUACGGCCACAUUGGGACUGAGAUACGGCCCAGACUCCUACGGGAGGCAGCAGUGGGGAAUAUUGCACAAUGGGCGCAAGCCUGAUGCAGCGACGCCGCGUGGGGGAUGACGGCCUUCGGGUUGGAAACUCCUUUCGCUAGGGACGAAGCGUUUUGUGACGGUACCUGGAGAAGAAGCACCGGCUAACUACGUG